ACGUAGGGAGCAAGCGUUAUCCGGAUUUAUUGGGCGUAAAGAGUGCGCAGCCGGUUUAUUAAGUCUAAAAUUAAAGCCUGGAGCUUAACUCCAGUUCGUUUUAGAAACUGAUAGACUCGAGUGUGGUAGAGGCAAAUGGAAUUUCUAGUGUAGCGGUAAAAUGCGUAGAUAUUAGAAGGAACACCAGUGGCGAAGGCGAUUUGCUGGGCCAUUACUGACGGUCAUGCACGAAAGCGUGGGGAGCAAAUAG
rnacentral:rRNA from 1 species